rnacentral:rRNA from 1 species
UCUGAAUCUGCGAACGGCUCCGCAAACCAGUUGUAAACUAUAGCAAGCAAUCCUGCGGGUGGCUUCGGCUGCUCGUGGGUAACAUGGAUAACCCUGGUAAUUCUGAGGCUAAUACAAGAACGUACUCCCUGGCUGACCGGCAACGGAAGGCUGGGGAGCGUGCAACGUAUCGUAGGGAUAAACCGGGAAUGGGUGCACGCUUGGACCGCGCUAAAGACAGAUCUCGGCGAGCCUUCGGGUGAGCCUUGGCCUGAGCGGCUCUUGCUGUGUGCUUCUGACCUAUCAACUAGACGGCAGCGUAAGGGACAUGCUAUGGU